UACGGAGGGUGCAAGCGUUAUCCGGAUUCACUGGGCUUAAAGGGUGUGUAGGCGGAUAUUUAAGUCAGUGGUGAAACCUCAAGGCUCAACCUUGAAACUGCCAUUGAUACUAUUUAUCUUGAAUAUCGUUGAGGUAGGCGGAAUAUAUCAUGUAGCGGUGAAAUGCUUAGAUAUGAUAUAGAACACCGAUUGCGAAGGCAGCUUGCUAAACGAUUAUUGACGCUGAGGCACGAAAGCGUGGGGAUCAAACAGG
rnacentral:rRNA from 1 species